GCCAGCAUGGCGUAAUGGUUUGGCUUUGGACUAUAGCUCUGGAGACCAGGGUUUGAAUCCCAGCUUGGCC